rnacentral:lncRNA from 1 species
UUGAUAAACAGUUCUUAAAUAUUGAGUAGCCAAAUGUAUUGAUUUUUUCCCUUUGUAGUUAAUACUUUUCGGGCUUCAUGUAAGGGUUUAUUCUCUAGAGAUCAUGAAAUAUUCUCUAUAUUAUUUUCUGAUAACUUUGUUGUUUUGCCUUUUACAUUUAAGUCUAGAAAUCACCUAGAGUUGUUUGUAUAUGGUGUGAGGUAGAGGUCAAGUUUCAGGUUUUUUCCAUAUUAAUAUCCAGUUGUCACAACAUUAUCUUUUUUCUGCUGCUCUGCAGUGAUUCCUUUGUCAUUAAUCAAGUGUAUACACAUGGAUCUUUUGUGAGUUCUCAACUCUGUGCCAUUGGUUCAUUUGUUUAUGCUUGCACCAAUAGUGAGUGGAAUUUAUUACUUAAUCUUUUUAAGUCUUGAGAAUAUGUAGAAGACUUCCC